rnacentral:ncRNA from 1 species
UGAGGAGGGAUUUGACUGAUUGCAACCUCAUUAAAAAUGCUAAAGCAGUU